rnacentral:lncRNA from 1 species
UUUUCGUCGGCUUGUAUUGAGUUGAUCCAAUUUGAUUCGACUCUUGACCCCAAUAUGAAAGUUGCCUCGUUUUACGUCCCAAACAUCGUUCCAUCAAUGGUUUCUUGAACGAGCAAUCUCAUCGCCUCUUUUACUCACUUCGUCCUCACUCGAGUCAAUCGCCCUCGACUAUCAAUGAAUCUUUCUUUGGCCUUGACGUUGGACUUGACCUUGACGCUUGCGGCUAUUGGAUCAC